rnacentral:pre_miRNA from 1 species
CCGGGUGGCCGGAUCCGCUGGCGAGGAGGUCGUGGCUGCUGGAUCCGGCAGGCACGGCCUCCCCUCCACCGGAACUGGCCCCGCGG